AGUGAACGCUGGCGGUAGGCCUAACACAUGCAAGUCGAACGGCAGCACAGUAAGAGCUUGCUCUUACGGGUGGCGAGUGGCGGACGGGUGAGGAAUACAUCGGAAUCUACUUUUUCGUGGGGGAUAACGUAGGGAAACUUACGCUAAUACCGCAUACGACCUACGGGUGAAAGCAGGGGAUCUUCGGACCUUGCGCGAUUGAAUGAGCCGAUGUCGGAUUAGCUAGUUGGCGGGGUAAAGGCGCACCAAGGCGACGAUCCGUAGCUGGUCUGAGAGGAUGAUCCGCCAGACGGGAACUGAGACACGGUCCAGACUCCUACGGGAGGCAGCAGUGGGGAAUAUUGGACAAUGGGCGCAAGCCUGAUCCAGCCAUACCGCGUGGGUGAAGAAGGCCUUCGGGCUGUAAAGCCCUUUUGUUGGGAAAGAAAAGCAGCAGGUUAAUCCCCCGCUGUUCUGACGGUACCCAAAGAAUAAGCACCGGCUAACUUCGUG
rnacentral:rRNA from 1 species